rnacentral:rRNA from 1 species
UGCCGCGUGCGGGAAGAAGGCCUUCGGGUUGUAAACCGCUUUUGUCAGGGAAGAAAUCCUUUGAGCUAAUACCUCGGAGGGAUGACGGUACCUGAAGAAUAAGCACCGGCUAACUACGUGCCAGCAGCCGCGGUAAUACGUAGGGUGCGAGCGUUAAUCGGAAUUACUGGGCGUAAAGCGUGCGCAGGCGGUUAUGCAAGACAGAUGUGAAAUCCCCGGGCUUAACCUGGGAACUGCAUUUGUGACUGCAUAGCUCGAGUACGGCAGAGGGGGAUGGAAUUCCGCGUGUAGCAGUGAAAUGCGUAGAUAUGCGGAGGAACACCGAUGGCGAAGGCAAUCCCCUGGGCCUGUACUGACGCUCAUGCACGAAAGCGUGGGGAGCAAACAGGAUUAGAUACCCUGGUAGUCCACGCCCUAAACGAUGUCAACUGGUUGUUGGACGGCUUGCUGUUCAGUAACGAAGCUAACG